UACGUAGGGGGCGAGCGUUGUCCGGAAUCAUUGGGCGUAAAGCGCGUGUAGGCGGCCCGGUAAGUCCGCUGUGAAAGUCCAGGGCUCAACCCUGGGAUGCCGGUGGAUACUGUCGGGCUCGAGUCCGGAAGAGGCGAGUGGAAUUCCUGGUGGUAGCGGUGAAAUGCGCAGAUAUCAGGAGGAACACCAAUGGCGAAGGCAGCUCGCUGGGACGUGACUGACGCUGAGACGCGAAAGCGUGGGGGAGCAAACAGG
rnacentral:rRNA from 1 species